rnacentral:tRNA from 1 species
GGAAAUAGCUUAGUGGUAGAGCACAUGUUUAGCAUGCAUGAGGUCCUGGGUUCAAUUCUCAGCACUUCCA